UCUGGGAAACUGCCUGAUGGAGGGGGAUAACUACUGGAAACGGUAGCUAAUACCGCAUAACGUCGCAAGACCAAAGUGGGGGACCUUCGGGCCUCAUGCCAUCAGAUGUGCCCAGAUGGGAUUAGCUGGUAGGCGGGGUAACGGCUCACCUAGGCGACGAUCCYUAGCUGGUCUGAGAGGAUGACCAGCCACACUGGAACUGAGACACGGUCCAGACUCCUACGGGAGGCAGCAGUGGGGAAUAUUGCACAAUGGGCGCAAGCCUGAUGCAGCCAUGCCGCGUGUGUGAAGAAGGCCUUCGGGUUGUAAAGCACUUUCAGCGGGGAGGAAGGCGGURAGGUUAAUAACCUCAUCGAUUGACGUUACCCGCAGAAGAAGCACCGGCUAACUCCGUGCCAGCAGCCGCGGUAAUACGGAGGGUGCAAGCGUUAAUCGGAAUUACUGGGCGUAAAGCGCACGCAGGCGGUCUGUCAAGUCGGAUGUGAAUUCCCCGGGCUCAACCUGGGAACUGCAUUCGAAACUGGCAGGCUAGAGUCUUGUAGAGGGGGGUAGAAUUCCAGGUGUAGCGGUGAAAUGCGUAGAGAUCUGGAGGAAUACCGGUGGCGAAGGCGGCCCCCUGGACAAAGACUGACGCUCAGGUGCGAAAGCGUGGGGAGCAAACAGGAUUAGAUACCCUGGUAGUCCACGCUGUAAACGAUGUCGAUUUGGAGGUUGUGCCCUUGAGGCGUGGCUUCCGGAGCUAACGCGUUAAAUCGACCGCCUGGGGAGUACGGCCGCAAGGUUAAAACUCAAAUGAAUUGACGGGGGCCCGCACAAGCGGUGGAGCAUGUGGUUUAAUUCGAUGCAACGCGAAGAACCUUACCUGGUCUUGACAUCCACAGAACUUUCCAGAGAUGGAUUGGUGCCUUCGGGAACUGUGAGACAGGUGCUGCAUGGCUGUCGUCAGCUCGUGUUGUGAAAUGUUGGGUUAAGUCCCGCAACGAGCGCAACCCUUAUCCUUUGUUGCCAGCGGUCCGGCCGGGAACUCAAAGGAGACUGCCAGUGAUAAACUGGAGGAAGGUGGGGAUGACGUCAAGUUMUUCAUGGCCCUUACGACCAGGGCUACACACGUGCUACAAUGGCAUAUACAAAGAGAAGCGACCUCGCGAGAGCAAGCGGACCUCAUAAAGUAUGUCGUAGUCCGGAUUGGAGUCUGCAACUCGACUCCAUGAAGUCGGAAUCGCUAGUAAUCGUAGAUCAGAAUGCUACGGUGAAUACGUUCCCGGGCCUUGUA
rnacentral:rRNA from 1 species